GCCACGGUGGUCUACCAGUUAGAACGCUGGCCUUGUAAUCCUGGGGUCUCGGGUUCGAUUCCCGGCGGUGCCC
rnacentral:tRNA from 1 species